rnacentral:miRNA from 1 species
CCCCUGCCUGGGUCACCA